AGGGCACCACCAGGAGUGGAGCCUGCGGCUUAAUUUGACUCAACACGGGAAAUCUCACCAGGCCCGGACACCGGAAGGAUUGACAGAUUGAGAGCUCUUUCUUGAUUCGGUGGGUGGUGGUGCAUGGCCGUUCUUAGUUGGUGGAGCGAUUUGUCUGGUUAAUUCCGAUAACGAACGAGACUCUGGCCUACUAAAUAGACGUUAGAUCCCUUUGUGGGUCUAUCGCAGCUUCUUAGAGGGACGGGCGGCGUUCAGCCGCACGAGAUUGAGCAAUAACAGGUCUGUGAUGCCCUUAGAUGUUCUGGGCUGCACGCGCGCUACACUGGAGGAAUCAGCGUGUGUUCCCUGCCCGAAAGGACUGGGAAACCCGUUGAACCUCCUUCGUGAUGGGGAUUGGGGAUUGCAAUUAUUCCCCAUGAACGAGGAAUUCCCAGUAGGCGCGAGUCAUAAGCUUGCGUCGAUUACGUCCCUGCCCUUUGUACACACCGCCCGUCGCUACUACCGAUCGAGUGAUUUAGU
rnacentral:rRNA from 1 species